rnacentral:rRNA from 1 species
ACACAUGCAAGUCGAACGAAGUAGCAAUACUUAGUGGCAGACGGGUGAGUAACAUGUAGGUAUCUGCCCUUUGGCCUGGAAUAACACGAGGAAACUUGUGCUAAUACCGGAUAAGUCUUUACGGAGAAAGCUUUAUGCACCAUUGGAUGAGCCUGCACUUGAUUAGUUUGUUGGUGGGGUAAUGGCCUACCAAGACUGUGAUCAAUAGCUGAUUUGAGAGGAUGAUCAGCCACAUUGGGACUGAGACACGGCCCAAACUCCUACGGGAGGCAGCAGUGGGGAAUCUUGCACAAUGGAGGAAACUCUGAUGCAGCGAUGCCGCGUGAGUGAAGAAGGCCCUUGGGUUGUAAAGCUCUUUCGUCGGGGAAGAAAAUGACUGUACCCGAAUAAGAAGGUCCGGCUAACUUCGUGCCAGCAGCCGCGGUAAUACGAAGGGACCUAGCGUAGUUCGGAAUUACUGGGCUUAAAGAGUUCGUAGGUGGUUGAAAAAGUUAGUGGUGAAAUCCCAGAGCUUAACUCUGGAACUGCCAUUAAAACUUUUCAGCUAGAGUAUGAUAGAGGAAAGCAGAAUUUCUAGUGUAGAGGUGAAAUUCGUAGAUAUUAGAAAGAAUACCAAUUGCGAAGGCAGCUUUCUGGAUCAUUACUGACACUGAGGAACGAAAGCAUGGGUAGCGAAGAGGAUUAGAUACCCUCGUAGUCCAUGCCGUAAACGAUGUGUGUUAGACGUUGGAAAUUUAUUUUCAGUGUCGCAGGAAACCGAUAAACACACCGCCNGGGGAGUACGACCGCAAGGUUAAAACUCAAAUGAAUUGA